UUUGUGUCUGGUUUUACCCUUUAUGUUUAUUUAAUUGUUAUAAAAACAAAAGUAAAAUAGCCAAUAGUUUGAAUUGGAAUGUACUGAAUAUGACAGCCAUCCAAUAUUUUUUAAAAAUUUUUUUUUUUACAUUCGGCGUUAUUGAUAUAUGAAAACAAAUACAAAAUUAAUCAAUAUAUUUUGUGAUUUAUGGUGGACAGGUUGGAUCAUUUGUUAAAUUCUAUCCACAAACAGACCUGGUCUUCAUAUUCUGCAUCCCAUAUUUA
rnacentral:lncRNA from 1 species